rnacentral:rRNA from 1 species
UACAGAGGUCCCAAGCGUUGUUCGGAUUCAUUGGGCGUAAAGGGUGCGUAGGUGGCGCUGUAAGUCGGGUGUGAAAUUUCGAGGCUUAACCUCGAAACUGCAUUCGAUACUGCGGUGCUUGAGGACUGGAGAGGAGACUGGAAUUCAUGGUGUAGCAGUGAAAUGCGUAGAGAUCAUGAGGAAGACCAGUGGCGAAGGCGGGUCUCUGGACAGUUCCUGACACUGAGGCACGAAGGCCAGGGGAGCAAACGGGG